AUGAUUAAACUUUAUUUUAAUUUUUAUCAUUCAUGACACAAGAUUUAUUUUCAUCCAGAAAUAUUUAUUUGGAAAGCUUGAUAGUUCAGGAAUUUUAGAGCUGAGACAUUAGAUUGGUUAGAUACAAGUAGAAGUGACUAGGUAUGUGGCUGAAUUCGUAGCCAAGGAAUACCAAAAAGCUUCUUGAAACAGUUUUGAGGCUUAUUAGUUAUUUAUGGGCAAGUGAAGAAGAGAGAAACUUCCCUGUGCAAGGUUUAUAUUGUCAUCGACAAGUGAAAGUCUUUGAAAGCCACUGUGCGUCUUGGAUGUUCACACAUUUCAGCUGAUGAUGAAAAUUUUUUAUUUGGCAAGUGAUAUUUCACACAUUUGUUAGCCUUUGCAAUUGAUCCUAUAAAUUAAUAAUUUGCCUUUUCUAUACAUUUCGUUGAGUCUUCCUAACCAUUUGGCAAAGCUUCUGACUUGGUUUCACUAUUGAAAUUGUUUUCAGCAUUUCAAUUUUUCUUAAUAUAUUUUGUGCUCUGAUCAUGUCCUACUCCCCGUAUCACAUUUUUUUUUAUGCUUCUCCUGUAAUGUCUUAGCUUCCAUUGAAGAUUGAGAUCAAAUUGUGCGCAGAAGGAUUUUCCAA